UGGGGAAUAUUGGACAAUGGGCGAAAGCCUGAUCCAGCAAUGCCGCGUGAGUGAUGAAGGCCCUAGGGUUGUAAAGCUCUUUUACCCGGGAUGAUAAUGACAGUACCGGGAGAAUAAGCUCCGGCUAACUCCGUGCCAGCAGCCGCGGUAAUACGGAGGGAGCUAGCGUUGUUCGGAAUUACUGGGCGUAAAGCGCGCGUAGGCGGCUUUUUAAGUCAGAGGUGAAAGCCCGGGGCUCAACCCCGGAACUGCCUUUGAAACUGGAAAGCUAGAAUCUUGGAGAGGUCAGUGGAAUUCCGAGUGUAGAGGUGAAAUUCGUAGAUAUUCGGAAGAACACCAGUGGCGAAGGCGACUGACUGGACAAGUAUUGACGCUGAGGUGCGAAAGCGUGGGGAGCAAACA
rnacentral:rRNA from 1 species